UACGAAGGGGGCUAGCGUUGCUCGGAAUUACUGGGCGUAAAGGGCGCGUAGGCGGCACUGUUAGUCAGGCGUGAAAGUCCUGGGCUCAACCUGGGAACUGCGCUUGAUACGGCAGAGCUAGAGGAUGGAAGAGGGUCGCGGAAUUCCCAGUGUAGAGGUGAAAUUCGUAGAUAUUGGGAAGAACACCGAUUGCGAAGGCAGCUCGCUGGGACGUUACUGACGCUGAGACGCGAAAGCGUGGGGAGCAAACAGG
rnacentral:rRNA from 1 species